AUGAUUGGGAGAUAUUUCUGGGCACAGCAUGAUAAUGAGAACAAGAUGCAUUGGAUCAGCUGGGAGAAGUUAACACUUUCUAAAGCAGAAGGGGGGCUGGGCUACAAGGACCUGCAUUCUUUCAACCUGGCCAUGCUAGCAAAACAAGGAUGGCGGCUGCUAACUGACCCAAACUCGCUGUGUGCACGCGUUUUGCGGGCCAAAUAUUACCCCGAUGGGGAUUUGUUAGGUGCACAGCCGAAAGAGGGUAUGUCAUAUUCUUGGAGGAGCAUAUUGCAAGGUAUUGAGCUGCUGCGAAAUGGAAUAAUAAAGCGGGUGGGUGAUGGUUCCAGCAUCAAUAUAUGGGCAGAUCCAUGGCUGCCUAGGCAAUGGUCCAGAAGGCCGAUUACACCCUGA
rnacentral:rRNA from 1 species